CCCGAACUCGUCUGCGUGAUUGAAGUCUGCAUCCCCCAUGAGAGGAAUAGUGUCUUUGGUGCUGCCAUGCCAAUCCGAUCUAUUCCCUUUCUUUUUUUUUGUUUUUGUUUUUUCAUGUUUGCAUGAUCGGUGAUCAGGCCUUUUUUCCCCACGCUGUUCAGAUUCAUGGUGGUUUUUCUUGUCGAUUCAAUCUUCUAUGCUUUAUGGUUGCAAUUUUCCCAGGUUUUAGUUUAGUGUUUAUAACUAGACAUGAAAAGACAAGAUAUGUAUUUUUUUCGCAGGGGUAGAGUGAGAAUCCGGAUGCAGCAUCAAUGCAGAUGAGGAUUAU
rnacentral:pre_miRNA from 1 species